GGAGAGAUGGCCGAGUGGCUUAAGGCAGCAGUCUUGAAAACUGCCGAAGAGUGAUCUUCCGUGGGUUCGACUCCCACUCUCUCCGCCA
rnacentral:tRNA from 1 species